rnacentral:ncRNA from 1 species
AAUGAGUUGUUUGAUCGCUUUUCAUGAUAAGCCUUAUGGGACUUUUUUUGUAUUCAAAAAGCUCUAUAAUUUCCAUGGUGAAUUUACCCACUACAGAAAUUAUAGAGCC